rnacentral:ncRNA from 2 species
UAGCAUCUGCCCUGCGCUGGUUAACCAUGGGAUGGUACGGGAAUACGGUGAAAAUCCGUAACUGACGCGCAGCGGUAAUAGAGAACGAACGCACACGGAUGUAUUCCAAACACUGUUUUAACAAUAUGUUUAAUCAAUAAAGAUUGAAUGAUGUAUUGUUGAGAUGGGAAGUUGAUGCCUAGGCGACCUUCUUCAGGUCAUGCUCUUAAGUCCGAAUACCAACCAGCGGUAAAGCACUCUU